rnacentral:rRNA from 1 species
AUUGAACGCUGGCGGCAGGCCUAACACAUGCAAGUCGAACGGUAACAGGAAACAGCUUGCUGUUUCGCUGACGAGUGGCGGACGGGUGAGUAAUGUCUGGGAAACUGCCUGAUGGAGGGGGAUAACUACUGGAAACGGUAGCUAAUACCGCAUAACGUCGCAAGACCAAAGAGGGGGACCUUCGGGCCUCUUGCCAUCGGAUGUGCCCAGAUGGGAUUAGCUAGUAGGUGGGGUAACGGCUCACCUAGGCGACGAUCCCUAGCUGGUCUGAGAGGAUGACCAGCCACACUGGAACUGAGACACGGUCCAGACUCCUACGGGAGGCAGCAGUGGGGAAUAUUGCACAAUGGGCGCAAGCCUGAUGCAGCCAUGCCGCGUGUAUGAAGAAGGCCUUCGGGUUGUAAAGUACUUUCAGCGGGGAGGAAGGGAGUAAAGUUAAUACCUUUGCUCAUUGACGUUACCCGCAGAAGAAGCACCGGCUAACUCCGUGCCAGCAGCCGCGGUAAUACGGAGGGUGCAAGCGUUAAUCGGAAUUACUGGGCGUAAAGCGCACGCAGGCGGUUUGUUAAGUCAGAUGUGAAAUCCCCGGGCUCAACCUGGGAACUGCAUCUGAUACUGGCAAGCUUGAGUCUCGUAGAGGGGGGUAGAAUUCCAGGUGUAGCGGUGAAAUGCGUAGAGAUCUGGAGGAAUACCGGUGGCGAAGGCGGCCCCCUGGACGAAGACUGACGCUCAGGUGCGAAAGCGUGGGGGAGCAAACAGGAUUAGAUACCCUGGUAGUCCACGCCGUAAACGAUGUCGACUUGGAGGUUGUGCCCUUGAGGCGUGGCUUCCGGAGCUAACGCGUUAAGUCGACCGCCUGGGGAGUACGGCCGCAAGGUUAAAACUCAAAUGAAUUGACGGGGGCCCGCACAAGCGGUGGAGCAUGUGGUUUAAUUCGAUGCAACGCGAAGAACCUUACCUGGUCUUGACAUCCACGGAAGUUUUCAGAGAUGAGAAUGUGCCUUCGGGAACCGUGAGACAGGUGCUGCAUGGCUGUCGUCAGCUCGUGUUGUGAAAUGUUGGGUUAAGUCCCGCAACGAGCGCAACCCUUAUCCUUUGUUGCCAGCGGUCCGGCCGGGAACUCAAAGGAGACUGCCAGUGAUAAACUGGAGGAAGGUGGGGAUGACGUCAAGUCAUCAUGGCCCUUACGACCAGGGCUACACACGUGCUACAAUGGCGCAUACAAAGAGAAGCGACCUCGCGAGAGCAAGCGGACCUCAUAAAGUGCGUCGUAGUCGGAUUGGAGUCUGCAACUCGACUCCAUGAAGUCGGAAUCGCUAGUAAUCGUGGAUCAGAAUGCCACGGUGAAUACGUUCCCGGGCCU